AAGCGGAGGAAAAGAAACUAA
rnacentral:ncRNA from 2 species